GGCAUGUGAGCAGAAACUGACCAUGGCUUCUCUUAGUAACGGCGAGUGAAAAGAGAUUAGCCCAUCACCGAAGCCCAUCCGCUCAUGUGGAUAAGGCCAUGUGGUGUUCAGUCAUUGACCUGGGGACAGUUGUUUACUCGAAGUCCAACUCCGAUUUUGGCUUUGGAUUUGUUCCGUAGAGGGUGAAAGGCCCGUACGAGUAAACACUUACGGUAUCAAGCUGUUUCCUAAUGGUCAGUGACAUGGAGUCGGAUUGCUUGAGAAUGCAGUCCAAAGUGGGUGGUAAACUCCAUCCAAGGCUAAAUACUGGCACGAGUCCGAUAGUAGACAAGUACCGCGAGGGAAAGUUGAAAAGUACUCUGAAGAGAGAGUAAAUAGUACGUGGAUACCC
rnacentral:rRNA from 1 species